rnacentral:rRNA from 1 species
CAGCAGCCACGGUAAUACGUAGGGGGCGAGCGUUGUCCGAAGUUACUGGGCGUAAAGCGCGCGUAGGCGGCUUCUUAAGUCUGAGGUGAAAGGUUCAACGCUUAACGUGAACAGUGCCUUGGAUACUGGGGAGCUUGAGUAUGGGAGAGGGCAGUGGAAUGGCUGGUGUAGCGGUGAAAUGCGUAGAUGUCAGUCGGAACACCCAUGGCGAAGGCAGCUGCCUGGCCUAAUACUGACGCUGAGGUGCGAAAGCGUGGGGAGCGAACGGGAUUAGAGACCCCUGUAGUCCCUGUCUCUUAUA